GGGAGAGACAUUGGGCUUUGCUCCUCCGUCUUCAGCUACUCCCCUAUAAAUUGAGUUGGUGUGACGUUGCGUUCCCGCCCCCCAACCCCUGUAAAGUAUGAUUUUGCUAGGCUCCUGAGAGACUAGAACUGCACCUGUUGCUUCCUGCAAUAUGGAAACCAACUCAUGAACUGAGGUCCCUUUUGCCCUUCCUUUGACAUUAACUAUGACAAAAGGGUGCCUCCGCAAAAGAUUCUUGAUUGCUUCCUCAAGACCGGCCACAAUAUUGCUCUUUCCUGAUAAGAAAACAAAAAAGAGACGAGAAUGUUCCCCUUCCAAUUAG
rnacentral:lncRNA from 1 species